rnacentral:tRNA from 1 species
UGGCUGACUUAGUAGAGCACAUGACUCUUAAUCUUGGGGCCGUGAGUUCAAACCUCAC